rnacentral:rRNA from 1 species
CCUACGGGAGGCAGCAGUGAGGAAUAUUGGUCAAUGGGCGAGAGCCUGAACCAGCCAAGUCGCGUGAGGGAGUACUGCCCUAUGGGUUGUAAACCUCUUUUGUCGGGGAGCAAAAGCCGGACGUGUCCGGCUGUGAGAGUACCCGAAGAAAAAGCAUCGGCUAACUCCGUGCCAGCAGCCGCGGUAUUACGGAGGAUGCGAGCGUUAUCCGGAUGUAAUGGGUUAAAAGGGUGCGCAGGCGGAUUGUUAAGUCAGCGGGCAAAUCGUGGGGCUCAACCCCGUCCAGCCGUUGAAACUGGGGAUCUAGAGUGUGCGAGAGGUAUGCGGAAUGCGUGGUGUAGCGGUGAAAUGCAUAGAUAUCACGCAGAACCCCGAUUGCGAAGGCAGCAUACCGGUGCACAACUGACGCUCAGGCACGAAAGCGUGGGUAUCGAACAGGAUUAGAUACCCGGGUAGUC